CCCUUAGAUGUUCUGGGCCGCACGCGCGCUACACUGAUGCAUUCAACGAGCCUAUCCUUGACCGACAGGUCCGGGUAAUCUUUGAAUCUGCAUCGUGACGGGGAUAGAUUAUUGCAAUUAUUAAUCUUCAACGAGGAAUGCCUAGUAGGCGCAAGUCAUCAGCUUGCGUCGAUUACGUCCCUGCCCUUUGUACACACCGCCCGUCGCUCCUACCGAUUGGGUGUGCUGUGAAAUGUUCGGAUCGGCCGUUUGUCGCGGUUUCCGCGUCAUGUGGCUGAGAAGUUCAUUAAACCCUCCCACCUAGAGGAAGGAGAAGUCGUAACA
rnacentral:rRNA from 1 species